CGAAUACGCGUACACUGCCGAGUCGCAAGGCGAAGCAGACGUACCAAGUAGUACAUGCUGCCUAUGUAUGUAUCUACAUUCACUGUGAACUUGUACUGAUCUGUGUGAGGUGGACAGAGACGGGGAGCAAGGCGCAAUGCUUGCCUCUCUGUCGUCUGUGCUCAAAUGGCAGGCGUUUCCUGCCGGCCUCACAUGGAGCUUUUUCGUGUCUCGAAUAUACUUUACAACUUUCUUCCUGACUUUGCUGCUGCGAGACCGACUCACUUAGCUGAGAGCUGGUCGAGCAAACUAGCAAAAAACCAAACAUGAGACAACUUCUAACGGUGGAUCUCUUGGCUCGUGCAUCGAUGAAGAACGCAGCCAGCUGCGAUAAGUAGUGUGAAUUGCAGAACUCAGUGAAUCAUCGAAUCUUUGAACGCAAAUGGCGCUCUCUGGUUCUCCAGGGAGCAUGUCUGUCUGAGCGUCAUGACACAAUCCACGUACACUCGCUCUCGCUCACUCGUCGUCGUCGGUCUUCAAUGGCUGGCUGGCGUGCGUGUGUGCGCUGCUGCUUGUACGGCGUUGAGGCUUCGUGCACUGUUGCUGCCCGUGUGGCGGUGGGUGCGCGUGUCUUUAAGUAAAGCAAGACUUGCACAGCAUCGGCUGGCUGGCUACUGAGUAGCUUGCAUCCGAGAGCAGCAAAAAAGUUUCAUCUUUCUUCUGCUUCUCGACCGUGAGCUGCACAUUCAGUAGUCAAUUGCGGAACCCUACUCUGCCUAACCGUAGAGUAUUGAAUUUUGACCUCAGAUCAGGCA
rnacentral:rRNA from 1 species